ACCUCUUAUGUGCGCGAAAGUUUUGUUGCUAAGUCUCAAACCGACGCCGUUUACACCGAUUUGUCAGCAACAUUUGAUAAGGUGAACCACGGUAUUUCCAGUGGUAAGCUUGGACGCUUAGGAUUCUGUGGACCUUAACUUGGCUGGUUCCGCAGUUACUAAACUGGACGGAAAUUGACAGUUCGCACAGGAGACUCUAUAUCCAGCCAGUUUUCUGCCUCCUCCGGUGUGCCCCAAGGUAGUCACCUAGGACCGAUUGUCUUCUUAAUCUUUCUAACGAUUUGCUCUCCCUCCUCGACGUUUCGAAACUUUGUUAUGCGGAUAAUCUUCAACUGUUCUACACCACGUGUAUUUCUAGGGGUUGAACUAUUCCUCAGGAAGGCGAGACCAUUAACCAGAAGGCGAAAAGCACGCAGCCAUCACUGCCGGUUCCACUACUCACCACCAGAGACCGUAAGCUAACUGAGAGAAGCGAAGAGGCGAAACAACCAGAUUAGACGAGGCAAGAAAAGGCGCGAGGCGAGAGCAAUGACCGGCUGGAGUUCAAAGCCUGCCGAUAAUAACGUCCAUCGGCAUUUUGGAUUCAAACUCUGGCGAAACAACAGUGGACCAAAUAAAAAGUCGUUAUAAAACCAGGUGAAAAAACAUUUGGACAUCAGGACCUCGUUAUUUUUGGACAGAAUUACAACCCUGAUUCUUCGCCUUCAAUUCGAUUUGAAUUCACCGUUACACCCGUCUGUACGCCGCUGCUUGGAGGUUAUAUCUGCCGCUACACUAGGAUAAACCCCUCGGCGGCUUUGGAGAUUCAAAUCUUCCGACAUUCGGAUUUGAAUCAGCCGUUGAACUUGCCGCAUCGCAUCCGUUGCUGGUUCAAGCUGAAUUCCCACCGACAAACUUCGGAUCAGGCCAACAACAACUCCGAGUCUGGUUCAGCACCCAAGGUGGGGCCAGGUACACAACUCACCGUACGAUCGCCACGCCUCUACAAGAAUCGUUUCACCGAGGACCGCAACGAGGAUUGGAUCCAGGUGAUAGCAGCCAACAGGUCAGAUACAAACCUAUUUUGUUAAGUGAUUAAAAUGGUGG